rnacentral:tRNA from 1 species
UGUGGUGUAUGUCAGUGGUAGAGCACUUGCUUAGCAUGCAUGAGGACCUGAGUUUAAUCCCCAGCACACACAA